GCCCUUGAGCUGCUGCUCGAGCCCACUUCCACACUGUGGAGUGUGCUUUCAUUUUCAAUAAAUCCCUGCUUUUGUUCUUUUGUUGCUUCAUUCUUUGCUUUGCUGGGCGUUUUGUCCAAUUCUUUGUUCAAAACGCCAAGAACCUGGACAACUUGCAAUCAUGACCAGUGACACAGGCAGCUGUGAUCUGUGGAAGGAGGCCAGCAGGAGAGAACUUGCUACUUUUCCCUGGGAGGACCUGGUCUCCCAUCAGACAGAGAGAGGAGCUGCAAGUGGCCUGCUACUUCUCUUACCUCACAAAGAGAACCACUUGGCGAACCAGGUUCAAAAGGCGCAAACACAUGAAUUCAUCAGUUUAAAUUUUUUAGGGUUUUUAAAAAUUUUAAUCAAUGGUUUUUUCUCAACUGAAAUGAACCUUGCUGGAAUUGUGUAGCCUCAUGUAUACAACUAGAAAGUUGGGCCAUCUACAUCAGUGGACUUCAACUCUGCUUGGGCACUGGAGUCAUUUGGAGGACUUACUUAAAAUGCAGAUUCCUGGCCUCACCCACAGACAUUCUGUUUCCCUUGGGCUGAAUCAGGGUGUGUCAUUUUAGAAAACCAUAGACCAUUUUCUGUUGAAAGUCAAAUGGUCUUUGAAGCCCUCCACAUCUCACAUGCCAGGCUCUAAUUAUUCAACCCAAGGAAAUGAUACUCAAAUCAGAACACGAGAGUCCUUUCCCCUUCAAGUAUUUGUGCACUAGUUGUCCUAGUUGCCCUGGAUGCCUUCAGCUCACCCAUUCAACAGGAAGUCAGACCAGCCCUUCUGGGUAGCUAGCCCUCAGGAAGGGAGACCCAGAGCCACAUCUUGAGCUUCAGACCAUAGGGCAGGCAGGCACCCCAGGAGGUGUCUUGUCUGAAAAUGGCAACUGCCAGAGCCACAUCUUGAGCUUCAGACCAUAGGGCAGGCACCCCAGGAGGUGUCUUGUCUGAAAAUGGCAACUGAGACCUGGGAGAGUUCUUGGCUUAAUGAGCCAUCAGCUGAGCAAUGUUGAACUAAAAUUACCAGAUAAAGAUGGCGAAUUGGUGAUUAAUUC
rnacentral:lncRNA from 1 species